rnacentral:sRNA from 2 species
UUGUACCACUCGUCCACUCCGGUUCCUCCGCGCCGCCCACACCCACCUGGCGACUGCUCGCUACGUUCUGUCAGCC